rnacentral:tRNA from 3 species
CGGGAUGUGGCGCAGCUUGGUAGCGCACCUGACUGGGGGUCAGGGGGUCGCAGGUUCAAAUCCUGUCAUCCCGACGA